rnacentral:tRNA from 1 species
GGACGCAUAGCUCAGCUGGUUAGAGCGUUGCAUUCACAUUGCAAAGGUCCCUGGUUCGAGCCCAGGUGCGUCCACAA